UUUCGUUAUGCACGCCUCAGUGAUCAGUCACAAAUCACCACACCUUACGAACAUCUAACACAAUAACCUAUUUUUUUUCUUGCCAGUCUGUUAAUUUUAGGAUCGAAGGACAAAUCUCAGAGAGCUCUGCAAGAAGAAUUACACCGUUCGAUGCGCUUGGUUAUGAAUUUAAACAACGAGAAAGGGUAUGAUGGCGGAAGGAAAACUUUCCUCACCAUAUUCUGUAUCUGGUGGAUGGUUUAUGGAUGUACGACAGGACUUGGAAAAUCUACAGAAUCAGGUCGAAGGACAUCAGACUAUACCACACCAGUUACUACAGAAACCGGGGCUUCUACAGCAAAAGAUGUGCAAUCAACAAUAAAAAUUCAAGAUUUAACAUCAACACCAAUUUCUGAAAUCACAAAAAAAAAGGAUCCAAAAGACACAAAAACAGCACAAUCAAAAACAAUUUAUACAACUACAACUAUAAUGGAAACAACAACUUUGGAUACAAAAAGCAUGUUUUCAGCAUCCUCAACUAUAGCACCAAAAUUGAUGACUGAUACAGACACCACCUCUCCAUCAUAUUCAACUGUAGUACCAACAUCAACAACAACAGAUGAAGCAACAAUAACUCUGUUUGACAGUACAACAACUACAGAUGAAACGAUAGAUUUGGCUUCCACAACCAACCCUCCAACAUCUUCAAUCAUAGCACCAACAUCAAUUACAACUGAUGCACAAACCACAACUCUGUCUGACACUAAAACAGCUGCUGAUGAAACAAAAAAUAUGGCUUCCACAACAACUCCUCCAUCAUCCUCAAAUACAGCAGCAACUUCAACAACUGAUGCAGUAACCACAAUAAUUGACACCACUAUAACUAUUGAUAGAAAAACAAAUUUGGCUUCUACAACCACCAUUCCAAUGUCAACAACAGAUGCAUCAACCACAACUAUGCCUGACACCAUAACAACUAUUUAUUCAACAACAAAGCUGGCUUACACAACCCCCCCCCCAACAUCCUCAACUAUAGAACCAGCAUCAAUAACUGAUGCAUCAACCACAACGCUGUCUGACGCCACAAUAACUACUGAUGCAACAAGUUUGGCUUCCACAACCACCCCUCCAAAAUCCUCAACUAUAGUGUCAAAAAUAGAGGGAGCAACCACAACUACAGCUGACUCCACAACAACUAUUGAUGCAACUACAACUUUUGCUACAACAACCGAUGCAUCAACAGCAACUCUGGCUGACACCACAACAACAACUGAUGCAACAACAAUUUUCUCUUCCACAACCACACCUCUGACAUCGACCACUAUGGCACCAGCAUCAAUAUCUGAUGCAGCAACCACAACUAUGCCUGACACCAAAACAACAAUUGAUACAACAACAUCUUUGGCAACCACCUUUCCAACAUCCUCAAUGGUUAAAACAACGUCAAGAACAUCUGAUGCAGCAACCACAAGUAUUCCUGACACCACAACAAUGAUAGAUGCAACAACAACUUUGGCUUCCACAAUCAUUCCUGCAACAUCCUCAACUGUAGUGCCAGUUUCAACAACAACUCAUGCAUCAACAACAACUAUGUCUGACACCACAACAACAAUUGAUACAACAACAAUUGAUACAAUAACAUCUUUGGCUUCCACAACCACCUUUUCAACAUCCUCAAUGGUUAAACCAACGUCAACAUCAUCUAAUGCAGCAACCACAAGUAUUCCUGAUACCACAACAAUGAUAGAUGCAACAACAACUUUGGCUUCCACAAUCAUUCCUACAACAUCCUCAACUGUAGCGCCAGUAUCAACAACAAUUCAUGCAUCAACAACAACUAUGUCUGACACCACAACAACAAUUGAUACAACAACAGUUGAUACAAUAAUAUCUUUGGCUUCCACAACCACCUUUUCAACAUCCUCAACGGUUGAACCAUCGUCAACAACAUCUGAUGCAGCAACCACAAGUAUUCCUGAUACCACAACAAUGAUAGAUGCAACAAAAACUUUGGCUUCCACUUUCACUCCUACAACAUUCUCAACUGUAGCGCCAGUAUCAACAACAACUGAUGCAUCAACAACAACUCUGUCUGACACCAAAACAACAACUAAUGCAACAACAAUUUUGGCUUCCACAACCACAACUCUGACAUCGAGCACUAUAGCACCAGCAUCAACAUCUGAUGCAGCAACCACAACUAUGCCUGACACCACAACAACAAUUGAUACAACAACAACUUUGGCUUCCACAAUCACUCCUACAACGUCCUCAACUGUAGCGCCAGUAUCAACAACAACUGAUGCAUUAACAACAACUCUGUCUGACACCACAACAACAACAAGAACUGAUACAACAACAACUUUGGCUCUCACAACCACUGCUCCAACAUCCUCUAAUAUUGCACCAAUAUCAACAACUGAAACAGCAACCACAACUCUGUCUGACACCACAAAAGCAUCUGAUGCAACAACAACUUUAGCUACCACAACCACACCUUCAACACAAUCAACUCUAGCACCAGUGUCAACAAUAACUGAUGAAUCAACCACAGCUCUGUCUGACACCACUACAAUUACUGAUGUAACAACAAAUUUGGAUUCCACAACCACCCCUCUAAUGUCAACCACUGAUGCAUCAACCAUAACUCUGCCUGACACCACAACAACAACAACUGAUGCAACAACAGUUUUGGCUUCCACAACCACACCUCUGACAUUGACCACUAUAGCACCAGCAUCAACAUCUGAUGCAGUAACCACAAUUGUGCCUGACACCACAACAACAAUUGAUACAACAACAUCUUUGGCUUCCCCAACCACCUUUCCAUCAUCCUCAAAGUUUGAACCAACGUCAACAACAUCUGAUGUAGCAACCACAACUCUNCAACAUCUUUGGCUUCCACAACCACCUUUCCAACAUCCUCAACGUCUGAAACAACGUCAACAACAUCUGAUGUAGCAACCACAACUCUGUCUGACACCACAACAACAUCUGAUGCAACAACAACUUUAGCAACCACAAACACCACUCCAACACCCUCAACUCUAGCAUCAGUGUCAAAAACAACAACUGAUGAAUCAAAAACAACUCUGUCUGACACCACUACAACUACUGAUGCAACAACAACUUUGUAUUCCAAAACCACCCAUCUAAUGUCAACCACUGAUGCAUCAACCACAACUCUGCCUGACACCACAACAACUACUGGUGCUGCAAUUGUGACUUCCACAACCAACCCUCCAACAAUUUCGACAGUAGGACCAACGUCAACAACUGAUGAAUCAACCACAACUCUGCCUGACACCCCAACAUCUACUGAUGCAACAACAGUUUUGGCUUCCACAACCGCACAUCUGACAUCGACCACUAUAGCACCAGCAUCAACAUCUGAUGCAGCAACCACUGCUCCAACAUCCUCUAAUAUUGAACCAAUUUCAACAACUGAAACAGCAACCACAACUCUGUCUGACACCACAACAACACCUGAUGCAACAACACUUUUGGCUUCCACAACCACACCUCUGAUAGCGACCACUAUAGCACCAGCUGCAACAUCUGAUGCCGUAACCACAACUAUGCCUGACACCACAACAACAACUGAUACAGCAACAUCUUUGGAUUCCACAAACACCUUUCCAACAUCCUCAACGUUUGAACCAACGUCAACAACAUCUGAUGUAGCAACAACAAAUAUUCCUGAUACCACAACAAUGAUAGAUGCAACAACAUCUUUGGCUUCCACAAUCACUCCUACAACAUCCUCAACUGCAGUGCCAGUUUCAACAACAACUGAUGCAUCAAAAACA
ensembl:lncRNA